UACGAGAGGCCCAAACGUUAUUCGGAAUCACUGGGCUUAAAGGGCGCGUAGGCGGAUUUGCAAGUCUGUGGUGAAAUCCUCCAGCUUAACUGGAGAAGUGCCAUGGAUACUGCGAGUCUCGAGGAAGGUAGGGGCAUCUGGAACUGCCGGUGGAGCGGUGAAAUGCGUUGAUAUCGGCAGGAACUCCGGUGGCGAAGGCGAGAUGCUGGAUCUUUUCUGACGCUGAGGCGCGAAAGCCAGGGGAGCAAACGGG
rnacentral:rRNA from 1 species